AGAGAAAGAGACGCCCGGAAGGGGGUCCUUGCGCGAGGUGGUCCUUAGGACCUUUGUGCUGUCGUUUAUGAUAUGUUUUUUUGGUAUAAGGCAAAAUAUAAGGCCAAGACAGUCUCAUAGCUCAGCUGGUUAGAGCGCUACACUGAUAAUGUAGAGGUCGGCAGUUCGAGUCUGCCUGAGACUACGAAGGAAGUUCAUUGAGAAAAGAUAUUGGAAAUUUUAGAAGUUGAGUUACAGGGUUAUCACUCAUAACUCCCAACUAAUAACUCAUAACUGAAAAAUGGGGGAUUAGCUCAGCUGGCUAGAGCGCCUGCCUUGCACGCAGGAGGUCAUCGGUUCGACUCCGAUAUUCUCCACCACGGCAAUUGGCCGUCCACGGUGAUAUUAUCGCCAGUGGCGGUCCGCCACAAGUUCAUUGACAUAUUGGGACGGAGCAAGGGACGACAUAGGUCGUUUCAUUGCGAAGUCAAAGAAGAAACACGAAGUAGAAUAGAACAUUAAGGAUUACGAGAGGGCAUUUGUACUUAGGUACAGGUGC
rnacentral:tRNA from 1 species